UAGGUACUCCCUCCGUUUCAAAUUACUCGUCGUAGAAAUGAAUGUAUUUAGAUGUAUUUUAGUUCUAGAUACAUUUAUUUCUGCAACGAGUAAUUUGGAACGGAGGGAGUAGGUA
rfam:Triticum urartu cultivar G1812 contig270002, whole genome shotgun sequence.